UACGGGGGGGGGCAAGCGUUGUUCGGAAUUACUGGGCGUAAAGGGCUCGUAGGCGGCCAACUAAGUCAGACGUGAAAUCCCUCGGCUUAACCGGGGAACUGCGUCUGAUACUGGUUGGCUUGAAUCCGGGAGAGGGAUGUGGAAUUCCAGGUGUAGCGGUGAAAUGCGUAGAUAUCUGGAGGAACACCGGUGGCGAAGGCGGCUCACUGGUCCAUUACUGACGCUGAGGUGCGAAAGCGUGGGGAGCAAACAGG
rnacentral:rRNA from 1 species